CUCUCUAUCAGGCUGAUGGCCAGGACUUAAGAAUUCAUAUCCUUUGCACCCGAGGUGUGGCCCCUACUAGAUGUAUACUGCACUGCUGCAGGGAGGCAUGCUGUUACAGACUCUGUUAACUGUUGGGCAGGAUUUUCAGCACUUCCUGCUUAAACGAAUUGCUCCCUUGACAGCAAAUGUCAUUGUUGGAGAACUGAUUGAUGCACUCUAUCAGGGUUGUGG